CAGCAGUGGGGAAUCUUCCGCAAUGGACGAAAGUCUGACGGAGCAACGCCGCGUGAGUGAAGAAGGUCUUCGGAUUGUAAAACUCUGUUAUACGGGACGAAAAAGGCGGAUGCCAACAGUAUCCGUCCGUGACGGUACCGUAAGAGAAAGCCACGGCUAACUACGUGCCAGCAGCCGCGGUAAUACGUAGGUGGCAAGCGUUGUCCGGAAUUAUUGGGCGUAAAGGGCGCGCAGGCGGUUCGGUAAGUCUGUCUUAAAAGUGCGGGGCUUAACCCCGUGAGGGGACGGAAACUGUCGAACUUGAGUGUCGGAGAGGAAAGCGGAAUUCCUAGUGUAGCGGUGAAAUGCGUAGAUAUUAGGAGGAACACCGGUGGCGAAAGCGGCUUUCUGGACGACAACUGACGCUGAGGCGCGAAAGCGUGGGGAGCAAACAGGAUUAGA
rnacentral:rRNA from 1 species